AACGUAGGAGACAAACGUUAUCCGGAGUUACUGGGCGUAAAGGGCGUGCAGGUGGUCUGUUAAGUCUGGCGUGAAAGCUCCUGGCUAAACCGGGAGAGGUCGUUGGAUACUGGCGGACUAGAGGACGGUAGAGGCGUGUGGAAUUCCGGGUGUAGUGGUGAAAUGCGUAGAGAUCCGGAGGAACACCAGUGGCGAAGGCGACACGCUGGGCCGUACCUGACGCUGAGGAGCGAAAGCGUGGGGAGCGAACAGG
rnacentral:rRNA from 1 species